AGGACGAACGCUGGCGGCGUGCUUAACACAUGCAAGUCGAGCGGUAAGGCCUUUCGGGGUACACGAGCGGCGAACGGGUGAGUAACACGUGGGUGAUCUGCCCUGCACUUCGGGAUAAGCCUGGGAAACUGGGUCUAAUACCGGAUAUGACUUCAGGUUGCAUGACUUGGGGUGGAAAGAUUUAUCGGUGCAGGAUGGGCCCGCGGCCUAUCAGCUUGUUGGUGGGGUAAUGGCCUACCAAGGCGACGACGGGUAGCCGACCUGAGAGGGUGACCGGCCACACUGGGACUGAGACACGGCCCAGACUCCGUACGGGAGGCGAGCAGGUGGGAAUAUUGCACAAGUGGGCGAAAGCCUGAUGCAGCGACGCCGCGUGAGGAUGACGGCCUUCGGGUUAGUAAACCUUCUUUCAGCAGGACGAAGCGCAAGUCGACGUACC
rnacentral:rRNA from 1 species